rnacentral:ncRNA from 1 species
GCAGAGUAGGGGCCCGCGCGUUAAGUGCCUGACCAACGGGGAGUUGUGGCAGGACGAAGCCUUGUGCGCGGUGCGGGUUCCGCAUCCCACUGC